rnacentral:lncRNA from 1 species
CAGACACUUCGGGAGCUGAGAGCGACCAUCAUUCAAAUAAAUUCUACCCGACUGGACCUGUCUUUGACGGAGGGAUUGUCGUCCUGGAUCACCUCAGCAGUCUCUUAUUUCAAGGAAUGGGUGGGAGUGGGACUUUUUGGAGUGAUCCUCUGCUGUGGAUUAGUGUUACUCCUCUGGUUGCUUUGCAAAUUGAGAUCUCAAACAAGAAAGGACAAAGUAGUGAUCGCCCAAGCGCUUGUAGCCCUUGAACAAGGAGCGUCAGCCGAUAUCUGGUUGACCAUGCUCAAGCAACAGGUCGCCGGCUGGACAGCUCUUGCACUCCUAGAACCUCGGUUCAUUGCACAGGAUUAGAGUGUCCGGCUUGAGCAGCCCAUGAGGGGUGACGAGCUUAGCAUCGCACAGGGAAGUUCUACCAAAUAUGCUCCCUGGAAGGCAUGUCAUAUUACAUGAGGGUUUCUGCCCCAGUUUUCCCUCCCUCGAAAAAUGGCAGUGCGAUGGGUCGGGAGUGCCCUGGGUCCCAACAACAGCCUAAGGGUAUCUCUCUUGUACAGGUUCGCCAACUUCGUACGAGGAUAUGACCUCUGUCUUCACCCUCCUAUAUCUGGGUGUCCUGUUUGCUUAAAAA